GCUUUUCAUGGCUGAUAGGUUAAGGUGUUGGGCUUGAAAUCCAAUGGGGUUUCCCCAUGCAGGUUUGAACCCUGCUCACAGCG